GGCUCUCAGCCGUUAAGUGGAGAAUGUUCAGGACUGUCGAGGCGCGCUCCGCACCUGGCCUGAAAGCGGGAGAUUUGGCAACCAGUGCGCGUGGGUGCGCCGGCCCUUGCAGCUGGGGACUCUGGAGGCAGACCUUGCCCAAAGCCAGAGGCAGGAACUCCCCAGAUCCUCCCAGGGUAGCAUGGGAGGAUGCCGCCUCCUCCAGGAAGCUCUCUAGCGCUUUUCCGAGUCCUGGAGCCAGGCGGGACUUCUCUGUGGUCGCCUAGAAGGAGACCAACAAUUGUCAGCACAGCAAAACUGGGCAUUUCUUUUCUUACUGAGCUUUGCAGCUACCUACACAGUUGUGUGUGGCAUCUCCUCCUGGGUGCAAGGACAUGAGAUGACAUCAGGGUCUUGCUGUGUCAUCCAGGCUGGAGUGCAGUGAUAUGAGCAUGGCUCACUGCAGCCUCGACCUCCCAGCUUCAAGCAAUGCUCCCACCUUGGCCUCCCAAAGCGCUGGGAUUACAGGCAUGAGCCACCAUGCCUGGCCAUUGCCAUUGCAAGUCUCACUUUGUCACCCAGGCUGGAAUGCAGUGGCACGAUUACAGCUUACCACAGCCUUGACCUCCUGGGUUCAGGUGAUCCUCCCACCUCAGCCUCCCAAGUAGUUGGGACUACAGGUGCCCACCACCAUGCCUGGCUAAUUUUUUUGUAAUUUUUGUAGAGACAGGGUUUUGCCAUGUUACCUAGGCUGGUCUUGAACUCCUGGGCUCAAGCGAUCUGGCUGCCUCAACCUCCCAAAGUGGUAGGAUUACAGACAUGAGCCACUAUGCCCAGCCUAUAAUCUUGUUUGUAAACUUAGAGGGAAAGCAUCCAAAUUUAAUCAUUAUGAUGUUUGCCGUGGGUUUUUUGUACUUGCUCUUAUCAGGUUGAGGAAGUUCAUUUUUAUACUACUUUGUUGAGUUUUUAAAAAAUUAUUAUUAUGGCCAGGCAUGGUGGCUCACACCUGCAAUCCUAGCAUUUUGGAAGGCCAAGGCCAGCAGAUUGCUUGAGUUCAGCAGUUUGAGAACAGCCUGGGCAACAUGGCAAAACCCCAUCUCUAUAUUAAAAAAUAAAAAUAAUUUAAAAAAUUAUUAUUAUGAAAAGAUGUUGAAUUUUGUCAUAUGUUUCUUCUGCAUGUGUUGAAAUGACCAUAUGAUUUGUUUUUUGUUCUACUGAUAUUAUGUAUUACAAUAGUUUAUUUUUGGAUGUUAAACCAA
ensembl:lncRNA LINC00904 long intergenic non-protein coding RNA 904